rnacentral:rRNA from 1 species
ACGGUAGUCCUUCGGGAUGAGAGUGGCGAACGGGUGAGUAAUAUAUCGGAACAUAUCCGUAAGUGGGGGAUAACGUAGAGAAAUUUACGCUAAUACCGCAUAUUCCCUGAGGGGGAAAGGAGGGGAUUCGCAAGAACCUUUCGCUGACGGAGUGGCCGAUAUCGGAUUAGCUAGUAGGUGAGGUAAAGGCUCACCUAGGCGACGAUCCGUAGCGGGUCUGAGAGGAUGAUCCGCCACACUGGAACUGAGACACGGUCCAGACUCCUACGGGAGGCAGCAGUGGGGAAUUUUGGACAAUGGGCGAAAGCCUGAUCCAGCCAUACCGCGUGAGUGAAGAAGGCCUUCGGGUUGUAAAGCUCUUUCAGCCGGAAAGAAAUCCUGCUUACUAAUACUAAGUGGGGAUGACGGUACCGGAAGAAGAAGCACCGGCUAACUACGUGCCAGCAGCCGCGGUAAUACGUAGGGUGCGAGCGUUAAUCGGAAUUACUGGGCGUAAAGCGUGCGCAGGCGGUUUUAUAAGCCAGAUGUGAAAUCCCCGGGCUUAACCUGGGAACUGCAUUUGGAACUGUAAGACUAGAGUGUAGCAGAGGGGGGUAGAAUUCCACGUGUAGCAGUGAAAUGCGUAGAGAUGUGGAGGAAUACCGAUGGCGAAGGCAGCCCCCUGGGCUAACACUGACGCUCAUGCACGAAAGCGUGGGGAGCAAACAGGAUUAGAUACCCUGGGUAGUCCACGCCCUAAACGAUGUCAACUAGGUGUUGGGGGAGGAGACUUUCUUUAGUACUGCAGCUAACGCG